AGGUGACUGGGGCCGGCGUACCCGCGGGGGUGGGGGGAGUGGAAAAUGAAAGAGCGACAGCCUCACGCACCAGUCAGAAAGGAGUUCCGCCCGCUGCUCAAACCACUACUAGCAGAGGAGUAGGCCUUGGGGCGGCGUCACCGUUCAGACAAACACAGGCUUGGUUGAGGAAACACAAAUUCAUCCACACGCUCGCUUCACCGCGCUCCGCCUCCUCUCGGGAAGACGGCUGUCAGGUCCUAGUGCCCCUUGGGUCGCUGUCAAGCUCCGGCCGGUCUGCCAGCUUCCGCCUGUCGAAUGGUGGGGACGCCUCAUGGCCUGCAGCGCUCCACGCCCAGCAGGCUCCAGCGGACUGCAGAAGGGUCGGGCUCACGUAGAGCAGGCCCAUAGGGCAGCAGGCCCUAGCUCCGUGGGGACAGGGCACGCACAGCAACCUCCAGAUUCACUUUUCAUCAAUCCUUUAAUUCGCUUCCUGCUUGAAAGCAGGAGCUGGGCACACUCUACUGAUUAUGGUGGACCAGACAAGCCGAGCUCAGACAUUGCCACAGAGGAGAAAGCAGCUGCUCCUGUGGGACUACACCCACCAAAUGCAAUCAUAUCAGUCCUUUGUCUCCUCCUCUAAGGGUUCAGGUAGCUGGAAUAGAGGACCAGACUGUGCUUAACACUUACAGAAACUGAGUAGGGAGAAAGGGAGGCUUGACUUCUCUUUGACCACAGAGACAACAAUCCUUUGAGCUCAGAAAGACACUUCUGAAAAGCAGUUUUUCUUUGGAAUGAACAGGCACAGGUAUUAAAAAAACUUAAUUGUAAGAAUAUACUCAGAACUCCACAAGAUCAAAUGAUAUUUUAUAUACAACUUGUACACUACAAAUUAUACAUGCCAAACACUACCAGUGCUAUCAGUACUUAAAAUAGUUUUACAGAACAAAUACACAAAUUUCCAAUAAGUGCACUUAAUAUACAUUUACUUCCCAAGUAGUAGUGCCUCUUGAUAUUUAUUCUGUUGAAAUGGAAAAACCAAUUAGGUUUCUCCACGUUUCCACUCUAAUAGCACAUGCACUACAGAAAAAAAGACAUUGACAUAGGCUAAAAGGAGACAUUUAUUACAAGAACUCAAAAGAUUGAAAAGAACCGGUGACGCAUUGCCACACAGAAUAUUUUCAUCUGAAUUAGGUCCCAUUUUUCUGUUUUCCAACCUCUUGUUUUGAGACAGAUGUAGGUUAGAGUUAAACUAGGUUUAUAUUAAGACUGGUCUUUACAACUGUAUUUCACGCCAGCAUGACAUUUUGCAUUCAUAUAGACCUAUUUACUUGUGUAUCAUUCAUCCUUGUACAUAUUCAGUGUUACUGAAUUAAAAACUUCUACCUUCAGCCUUGGGCUUUCCGAAGCUAAAACUUGUUCCAAGUACUCUGAUUUACAUGAAGGCGCUCCUCUUCCUAUAAUUUUCUGUGUCAAGGGUACCUUUGUUCUUCUGUGCAAAAUUAAUUAAUACUAACUUUAUAACCUACUGUUGUGAACUAGGUUUUUUUAAGUCAAUACUUCUGUCAAUAUAAAUCUAAUUUGGGGGGUGGGGGAGAAAUCAAUGUAUUGUUGCACUAAAUUUUCCAUACAGUUACAACUGCUGGCUUUAAUAUAACUGGUUGCUUGAACUCAUUUAACUGAAAUCUUUUGAUUAUGCAAAUUAAAGUAGAUAGAAAAAGUAAGGAAAAAUUAAUCAAUAUAAUAAAAAUCUGAAAUGCUGUAUGCAGCUUUUGGAAAACUAGCUGCUGAAGUUUGCCUAGAGUAGGAAAGCUAAAUGGCUAAUAUAAGCUCCACCUCCUAAGAAAAGAGAUUUUGAAAUAGAUUUUCACACUACACAAGUUAAGCCUUUUCAUCUUCUCUGAGAAAGAUGUUUAACACAAGAUUGAAGAUUCUCCAGGGAGUCUUUCUAGAACUAUAUCUGAAGUUAGGGAUAAAAUUUUCUUUAGUUCUGUCCAUUCAUUAUUUAACUUCUCUUCGUUACAAAGCAAGGUUUUCAGAGGUGCAGAUAAUUUUAGAAAGGAAUUUGUGUUCAUUUACUGCAGUUGCACACUGAACUGUGGUACCUAGUAAAUUGUUCCAAUGGUUAAUUACACUCUCCAUUAAAAAUAUAUGCUUUAUUUCCAGCAUGAAUUUGUCUAGCUUCAACUUCCACUCACUGGAUCAUUUUAUACCUUUCUCAGCUAGAUUGAAGAGACAUUUAUUAAAUAUUUCUUCCCUGUAGAUAGAUAUGUAUAGACCAGAGGCUCUCAAACUGUGGUCCGCAAGCUCCACUUAGGUGAUCUACAGAUAGUGCCCGCUAAGGUGCGCACCUGAAUGGCCACACACUAGAAAAUGAAGGGCCACCCACCUAAUUAGUGGAGCUGCACAGGCGUGGCUCCACUAAUUAGGUGCCUGGACCCUGGAGAAGACGCACAUGUAAGGUGAGGUGGUGGCCUUGGGGGGGAAUAGGGGGCUGAGGGGUGAGAAGAGGGGUUGGGGGGAAUUUGGGAUGUGCAGGGCUGCGGCUGCCAGAGAAAAAGAGGCGACUUUCCCACGUCUAGGACUGCAGCUGCCGGGGAGAGACCCCCCACUCCGUCUCAGCCUCAGCUCUGUGGCUGCUGCGGCGGGGGAGAGUACUUGCACUACAAUCACACCUUCAUUUGCAGUUUAGGCAUACUCAGAGUAACAUAAAAUCUUUGUCACUUCAGACCAACAUUGCAUAAUUUUUAACAAAAAGGUUAUUUACACUUUCAAUCCAUUAACAAAAUUAUUGUUAACAUUUUUAUACAUUGGCCAUGUCAUAAAUAUAAAGGGAAGGGAAAACCCCUUUAAAAUCCCUCCUGGCCAGAGGAAAUCUCCUCUCACCUGUAAAGGGUUAAGAAGCUAAAGGUAACCUCGCUGGCACCUGACCAAAAUGACCAAUGAGGAGACAAGAUACUUUCAAAAGCUGGGAGGAGGGAGAGAAACAAAGGGUCUGUGUGUCUGUCUAUAUUCUGUCUUUGCUGGGGAUAGCCCAGGAAUGGAGUCUUAGAACUUUUAGUAAGUAAUCUAGCUAGGUACGUGUUAGAUUAUGAUUUCUUUAAAUGGCUGAGAAAAGAAUUGUGCUGAAUAGAAUAACUAUUUCUGUCUGUGUAUCUUUUUUGUAACUUAAGGUUUUGCCUAGAGGGGUUCUCUAUGUUUUGAAUCUAAUUACCCUGUAAGGUAUCUACCAUCCUGAUUUUACAGGGGGGAUUUCUUAUUUCUAGUUACUUCUAUUUUUAUUAAAAGUCUUCUUGUAAGAAAACUGAAUGCUUUUUCAUUGUUCUCAGAUCCAAGGGUUUGGGUCUGUGGUCACCUAUGCAAAUUGGUGAGGCUUUUUAUCCAACAUUUCCCAGGAAAGGGGGGUGCAAGUGUUGGGAGGAUUGUUCAUUGUUCUUAGGAUCCAAGGGUCUGGGUCUGUAGUCACCUAGGCAAAUUGGUGAGGCUUUUUCCCAAACCUUGUCCAGAAAGUGGGGUGCAAGGUUUUGGGAAGUAUUUUGGGGGGAAAGACGUGUCCAAACAGCUCUUCCCCAGAAACCAGUAUUUGUUUGGUGGUGGUAGCGGCCAAUCCAAGGACAAAGGGUGGAAUAUUUUGUACCUUGGGGAAGUUUUGACCUAAGCUGGUAAAGAUAAGCUUAGGAGGUUUUUUCAUGCAGGUCCCCACAUCUGUACCCUAGAGUUCAGAGCGGGGGAGGAACCUUGACAGGCCAAAAUAUUCAAAGUAAGGCUUUUAUACCCGUAUUUUCAAGAGCACAUAAGUAAUUUAGGAGCAUGCAUCCCACUGACUUCAAACUAUAAACCCUGCUGGAGAAGCAAAGCCUGUUUGAAGAAUUUUAACUUUUUUGACUUGUGGAAGUUUAAUAUAGUGGAAGGUGAUAUUAAUUGUAACUAUAGCAAGUAUGAACAUGUAGUGUUAUCACAGCAAGGCUGUUCAUGAAGACCAGGACUUUUUUUUUUUUUUAAGUAUAAAUGAGCAUUUUAAGUAUGAAAUUUCCUCAGUGUAAAAAAAAAAUCUAAAAUCUGAAAU